UGGGGAAUUUUGGACAAUGGGCGAAAGCCUGAUCCAGCAAUGCCGCGUGUGUGAAGAAGGCCUUCGGGUUGUAAAGCACUUUUGUCCGGAAAGAAAUCCUUGGCUCUAAUACAGUCGGGGGAUGACGGUACCGGAAGAAUAAGCACCGGCUAACUACGUGCCAGCAGCCGCGGUAAUACGUAGGGUGCAAGCGUUAAUCGGAAUUACUGGGCGUAAAGCGUGCGCAGGCGGUUUGCUAAGACCGAUGUGAAAUCCCCGGGCUCAACCUGGGAACUGCAUUGGUGACUGGCAGGCUAGAGUAUGGCAGAGGGGGGUAGAAUUCCACGUGUAGCAGUGAAAUGCGUAGAGAUGUGGAGGAAUACCGAUGGCGAAGGCAGCCCCCUGGGCAAUACUGACGCUCAUGCACGAAAGCGUGGGGAGCAAACAGGAUUAGAUACCCUGGUAGUCCACGCCCUAAACGAUGUCAACUAGUUGUUGGGGAUUCAUUUCCUAGUAACGUAGCUAACGCGUGAAGUUGACCGCCUGGGGAGUACGGUCGCAAGAUUAAAACUUAAAUGAAUUGACGGGGUCAUAGCUGUUUCCU
rnacentral:rRNA from 1 species